ACUGCUAUUACAAACAAACAACUUUUCGCGAUCUUUCCGCCGCUUCCCACACUCCUUCCCUUCGCGUUGUUAUCUCACCAACCACAGAGAAAAGCAGACAGGGAAGUGCCGGCUCUGGAGUACCUUGAGAGAGAACAGGGAGUCACCAAAACACAAGAAAUGCCAGAGUAGUGCAAUUAGGAUCAUAAAAGGAAUAAAUUAAGAAGCACGUGCCAUUGCUCUACAGAGAAAAGAAAUAAUACUCCAAUACCAGGAAUAAGAUCUGAUAAUUAAAGAUCAAUUCAGGAAUGCUGCAUUCACCAGGAAAAAACAGGAAGUAAAGAAUUAAGAAGAGAAAAAGCAGCUGGGAAACAAAGCAGCAAAAUUUAAAGGGACAGUAUUCCAGAAAAACGUCAAUUAGACUUUGCUAUCCACACUGACAUUGCACCAACAUUUUGACUUUCUUUUAAUUACCGCAAAUCAUAUCUGAAGAUAGAUGAAACGACAACGAAGUACGUGUUAUCUGGAUUCUCCAUAAAAACAAUGAAGGAAUCAUAUAUUGUCGAACCAAUGAAGUAAUCAUGUUCAUUACUGACUAAAUACCUAGUAUGGAAGUAAAGCAGGCCCAACAAUGUUAACAUCAGAUGCUCCAAAAUGCUCCACACACACACACUCAAAACUCACCCAGCAUAAGGACACCGUUGCGAUGGGCAGCAUUGGUCCAGACCACUGGUGGAAUGGUAACCGUAUGAUGGCUGAAGUAUACAAAGAUGUCGAUGUAACACCAGUGAUAGAAUACAAAAGGGUCAAUGACCUCAGACCCCUGGAUGAACCUGCCCACAGUAUAAAGAGAGAGAUUUUGUCAGGAAUAGGUAAUCAGCAAGGAUCUAUAUCACACAUGUCAAAGUAGAGCUUCCGUAGAGCAGGAAAGUGUUAUACUCGUAGUACUCAAAGUAGCUGAGGAUGCUAUCAUCUCCUGAAGCUAGGGCGCCACAGAGCCAUUCUCUCUCAAGAGACUCUAUAAUGACUGGAGUUCCCCAGGCACAUACAAAAAUUAAAUUUAAUUCCCUGUUCUUCUUGUAAAGGGCACAUCCAUAAGCCAGUUUUUCAGGCUUUUCAUUCAGUGCUUUCUAAGUUAAAUGGGGAGGACAGGAUGCAAAUAAAGUUCGGCUUCGCAAAAGCGACUAUGGACUCGCAGCCCAGCUGCUGAAGUACAACCUUCAUAGGCUACGUUGGUUUUGCAGGGGGACAGGGGAAGUGUGAUGUUACAGGGAUUGCACACACAAUGGUACACCACAGAAGUGUGAACCAGGAAGCUCCCAGUCCUCACCACAGUCACGCAAGCAACUGUUUGCUCCAUUUCAGCCCUCCUCUCCCUCCAUGCACCAGCCUCAAUAUGACGAUAACAACAUAGAUGUAUUUUACAGGGCCAGCAGAACGUCUGGGAGUUAAUGAAUAUAAAAUACUAUGAAUACCUGAAAUGGGCAAUCUAAAUAAGUUCUAUAGAAAUGCUAGGCAUUAUUGCACUGAAUGUACAUCAGACUCCUUUCACCAUUAUAUGGAUGCCCCCAAGGGGACCAUGGCUCACUCAAAUAUCCCACCAAGAC